rnacentral:rRNA from 1 species
GCAUGCAGAUCCAUUUUCUGCCACCGAAUACAUUAGCAUGGGAUAAUGGAAUAGGACCCUGUCCUCCUAUUUUCAGUUGGUUUUGGCAGCGCGAGGACUAGGGUAAUGAUUAAUAGGGAUAGUUGGGGGCAUUAAUAUUUAAUUGUCAGAGGUGAAAUUCUUGGAUUUAUGAAAGAUUAACUUCUGCGAAAGCAUCUGCCAAGGAUGUUUUCAUUAAUCAAGAACGAAAGUUAGGGGAUCGAAGACGAUCAGAUACCGUCGUAGUCUUAACCAUAAACGAUGCCGACCAGCGAUUAGGAGACGUUGAAUACAAAACACCACCAUCGGCGCGGUCGUCCCUGGCUCGUCGUCUCACGACGGCGGGCGGGGGCGGUUUAGCCCGAUGGCACCGGUGAAUGACUCCCCUAG